GACGAACGCUGGCGGCAGGCUUAACACAUGCAAGUCGAACGCGCCGCAAGGGGAGUGGCAGACGGGUGAGUAACGCGUGGGAAUCUACCGUGCCCUGCGGAAUAGCUCCGGGAAACUGGAAUUAAUACCGCAUACGCCCUACGGGGGAAAGAUUUAUCGGGGUAUGAUGAGCCCGCGUUGGAUUAGCUAGUUGGUGGGGUAAAGGCCUACCAAGGCGACGAUCCAUAGCUGGUCUGAGAGGAUGAUUAGCCACAUUGGGACUGAGACACGGCCCAAACUCCUACGGGAGGCAGCAGUGGGGAAUAUUGGACAAUGGGCGCAAGCCUGAUCCAGCCAUGCCGCGUGAGUGAUGAAGGCCUUAGGGUUGUAAAGCUCUUUCACCGAUGAAGAUAAUGACGGUAGUCGGAGAAGAAGCCCCGGCUAACUUCGUGCCAGCAGCCGCCGUAA
rnacentral:rRNA from 1 species